ACGGAGGCAGCAGUGAGGAAUAUUGGUCAAUGGACGAGAGUCUGAACCAGCCAAGUAGCGUGCAGGAUGACGGCCCUCCGGGUUGUAAACUGCUUUUAGUUGGGAAUAAAAGAGGUCACGUGUGAUCUAUUGUAUGUACCAUCAGAAAAAGGACCGGCUAAUUCCGUGCCAGCAGCCGCGGUAAUACGGAAGGUCCGGGCGUUGUCCGGAUUUAUUGGGUUUAAAGGGAGCGCAGGCGGCCUGUUAAGCGUGUGGUGAAAUGUAGUCGCUCAACGUCUGCACUGCCACGCGAACUGGCGGGCUUGGGUGCGGUGAACGCUGGCGGAAUUCGUGGUGUAGCGGUGAAAUGCUUAGAUAUCACGAAGAACUCCGAUUGCGAAGGCAGCUGGCGGUACCGCUACCGACGCUCAUGCUCGAAAGUGUGGGUAUCGAACAGGAUUAGAUACCCUGGUA
rnacentral:rRNA from 1 species